UACGGAGGGUGCAAGCGUUAUCCGGAUUCACUGGGCGUAAAGGGCGCGUAGGUGGCGCGACAAGUCAACGGUGAAAGCUCGGCGCUCAACGCCGAGUCGGCCGUCGAUACUGUUGGGCUGGAGCACUGUAGAGGCUCAUGGAAUUCCGGGUGUAGCGGUGGAAUGCGUAGAGAUCCGGAAGAACACCGGUGGCGAAGGCGGUGAGCUGGGCAGUUGCUGACACUGAGGCGCGACAGCGUGGGGAGCAAACAGG
rnacentral:rRNA from 1 species